GACGAACGCUUGCGGCGUGCUUAACACAUGCAAGUCGAACGGAAAGGCCCUGCUUUUGUGGGGUGCUCGAGUGGCGAACGGGUGAGUAACACGUGAGUAACCUGCCCUUGACUUUGGGAUAACUUCAGGAAACUGGGGCUAAUACCGGAUAGGAGCUCCUGCUGCAUGGUGGGGGUUGGAAAGUUUCGGCGGUUGGGGAUGGACUCGCGGCUUAUCAGCUUGUUGGUGGGGUAGUGGCUUACCAAGGCUUUGACGGGUAGCCGGCCUGAGAGGGUGACCGGCCACAUUGGGACUGAGAUACGGCCCAGACUCCUACGGGAGGCAGCAGUGGGGAAUAUUGCACAAUGGGCGGAAGCCUGAUGCAGCAACGCCGCGUGCGGGAUGACGGCCUUCGGGUUGUAAACCGCUUUCGCCUGUGACGAAGCGUGAGUGACGGUAAUGGGUAAAGAAGCACCGGCUAACUACGUGCCAGCAGCCGCGGUGAUACGUAGGGUGCGAGCGUUGUCCGGAUUUAUUGGGCGUAAAGGGCUCGUAGGUGGUUGAUCGCGUCGGAAGUGUAAUCUUGGGGCUUAACCCUGAGCGUGCUUUCGAUACGGGUUGACUUGAGGAAGGUAGGGGAGAAUGGAAUUCCUGGUGGAGCGGUGGAAUGCGCAGAUAUCAGGAGGAACACCAGUGGCGAAGGCGGUUCUCUGGGCCUUUCCUGACGCUGAGGAGCGAAAGCGUGGGGAGCGAACAGGCUUAGAUACCCUGGUAGUCCACGCUGUAAACGGUGGGUACUAGGUGUGGGGUCCAUUCCACGGGUUCCGUGCCGUAGCUAACGCUUUAAGUACCCCGCCUGGGGAGUACGGCCGCAAGGCUAAAACUCAAAGGAAUUGACGGGGCCCCGCACAAGCGGCGGAGCAUGCGGAUUAAUUCGAUGCAACGCGUAGAACCUUACCUGGGUUUGACAUGGAUCGGGAGUGCUCAGAGAUGGGUGUGCCUCUUUUGGGGUCGGUUCACAGGUGGUGCAUGCCUGUCGUCAGCUCGUGUCGUGAGAUGUUGGGUUAAGUCCCGCAACGAGCGCAACCCUUGUUCACUGUUGCCAGCACGUUAUGGUGGGGACUCAGUGGAGACCGCCGGGGUCAACUCGGAGGAAGGUGGGGAUGACGUCAAGUCCUCACGCCCCUUAUGUCCAGGGCUUCACGCAUGCUACAAUGGCUGGUACAGAGAGUGGCGAGCCUGUGAGGGUGAGCGAAUCUCGGAAAGCCGGUCUCAGUUCGGAUUGGGGUCUGCAACUCGACCUCAUGAAGUCGGAGUCGCUAGUAAUCGCAGAUCAGCAACGCUGCGGUGAAUACGUUCCCGGGGCU
rnacentral:rRNA from 1 species